UGUCCAGGGAUGGGAAUCGAACCCACAGUGUUCCGCUUACCGGGCAGAUGCCAUGUCCACUAAACGCCUACUUGGUC
rnacentral:tRNA from 1 species